GGGGAAAAGCUCAAAUUUUAAAUCUGCUAGGUUUUACCUAUCAGAAUUGUAAUUUGAAGAAGCGUUUUCCGCGUCUUGGUUAACCCAAAUCCUUUGGGAUAAGGUAUCAUGGAGGGUUAGAAUCCCGUUCGGUUGACCUUAUGACGCUCUACGAUACGCUCUCUAA
rnacentral:rRNA from 1 species